CAUGCAGGCGGUCGGACGCGUUUCCAGUGACAGCGGGUGGCUUACCUACCCGAGUAUUGGAAAGACGGUUUGACUUGAGGGCUCGAGAGGGACACGGAAUUCCGGGUGGAGUGGUGAAAUGCGUAGAGAUCCGGAGGAACAUCGAAGGCGAAGGCAGUGUCCUGGCGAGUGACUGACGCUGAGGUGCGAAAGCCAGGGGAGCGAACGGGGAUUAGAUACCCCCGGGUAGUCCUGGCCGUAAACGAUGACCACCAGGUGUGGGAGGUAUCGACCCCUUCUGUGCCGGAGGCAACCCACUAAGUGGUCCGCCUAGGGGGAGUACGGUCGCAAGAUUAAA
rnacentral:rRNA from 1 species